rnacentral:rRNA from 1 species
UGAACGCUGGCGGCAUGCCUUACACAUGCAAAUCGAACGGCAGCACGGGUGCUUGCACCUGGUGGCGAGUGGCGAACGGGUGAGUAAUACAUCGGAACAUGUCCUGUAGUGGGGGAUAGCCCGGCGAAAGCCGGAUUAAUACCGCAUACGAUCUACGGAUGAAAGCGGGGGACCUUCGGGCCUCGCGCUAUAGGGUUGGCCGAUGGCUGAUUAGCUAGUUGGUGGGGUAAAGGCCUACCAAGGCGACGAUCAGUAGCUGGUCUGAGAGGACGACCAGCCACACUGGGACUGAGACACGGCCCAGACUCCUACGGGAGGCAGCAGUGGGGAAUUUUGGACAAUGGGCGAAAGCCUGAUCCAGCAAUGCCGCGUGUGUGAAGAAGGCCUUCGGGUUGUAAAGCACUUUUGUCCGGAAAGAAAUCCUUGGCCCUAAUACGGUCGGGGGAUGACGGUACCGGAAGAAUAAGCACCGGCUAACUACGUG